rnacentral:lncRNA from 1 species
GACAAAUCAAUUAAAUCUGAGAAUUCCGUAAAUGAAGAAACACUGAAAAUGCUUCUAUUUUAUCUUGGCUCUGGGAGAGAAGAAGAGCUAAGGGAGAAAUAACAUAAAAUUCGGGUAAGAACUCAUUUCACCAAGAACUGUCAUCAUCUGCUCAUGUGGGAAAAGCUGUUAGAGCAAAAGGCCUUAGAAAAGAAACAAUGAAGAGACAAGCCAAGACACUAAACAGUGGAUUUGGGGAGAAACGAAUCCAGAAUUGAGGGGACGUUUUGGCUGAGAACCUCAGUGGGGAUGUGGAAAGCAAACAGAAUAAGGAACACUCUGCAGUCAUGAAGAAUCUUGGUGGACCCAUUGCUGCAUGAAAAGGAUAUACAUCUAAAGCUUUGGAGACACAAGCUGCCAUAGUCACUGUUCAAGGAUUUCUGAUGUGGGUGUUUUGUUUCUUUGAG